rnacentral:lncRNA from 1 species
UCUGGAGAUAGAUGCUGGUGGUAGUUGCAUAACAAUGUGCAUGAUCAGUGACAGAUUUGUACAUUUAAAAAUGAUGAAAAUGGUAAAUUUUAUGUAUAUUUCACCACAAUUUUUUAAAGUUUUUUUAAGUUAGGUUGACCUUGACCUUCCUUCCUCUGUUUUUCUCCUACCUAGGGGCAAUAUCAAUAAUACCAAGCACACUGUUGACCUUAAUUAUGACAGAGUCCUGUCUCCAUCUGUUUAUCUCAGUUGUUAAUCACUGAGCAAACAACCCGAGCUGCCUAAGCUAAAGUGUCCAGUGGACCUAAAAGAUCACUGUCUGUGUUACUGCCUGUUUCUGCCUUCCUUCUAUUGGAAGACCUCCCUAGGUCUUAGCUAAGUUGAUGAAAAUUACACCCAUAUCUUAUUAUGUUCCAACUUCAUACCUCAACUGCC